UACGUAGGGGGCUAGCGUUGUCCGGAAUCAUUGGGCGUAAAGAGCGUGUAGGCGGCCCGGUAAGUCCGCUGUAAAAGUCAAAGGCUCAAACCUUUGAAUGUCAGUGGAUACUGCCGGGCUAGAGUCCGGAAGAGGCGAGUGGAACUCCUGGUGUAGCGGUGGAAUGCGCAGAUAUCAGGAAGAACACCAACGGCGAAGGCAGCUCGCUAGGACGGUACUGACGCUGAGACGCGAAAGCGUGGGGAGCGAACAGG
rnacentral:rRNA from 1 species